UGUUCUGGUGGACCAAUCUCAGAGCCUAGAGCGUAGAAUUAUUGGUCUGCAUAAUCAAAUAAAAGUGAAACCUCAAAUAUGAAGUUUUCAUAUUUGGUGAAUGAAGAUAGAAAUUCCAGGGCAAGCAUGGAUAUACCUUUUGAAUUGUUGAUUCUUAUUUUUGAGAAGAUGCAGCAACUUGCUCUUAGCAAGAGGGAGGAGUAUAUCUAGCCAUCCAGGUUGAAGCAUUAUCUGUAAUGAAUCUAACGUUGAUGGCAAGUAACCCCUCAGAGAGAGAAAGGUUUGGACUCGUGCAACUGUUGGAGGUUUUUGCCGAAGUUAUUGCAGAAGGAAAUUGGCUUGUGCGUGAGAAAGCAAGCCGUGCGUCUUCGGUUUCUUUUACUUAACUGCCCAAAGGUGUUAUCGGUGUUUUGUGAUGAAACUGACCAUGCAAAAACAACAGAUUGCCUAAUAGCUAUACCAACAUUACGGGAAG